UUUUGUACAUAAUUUAAGGUCUAGCCUGCCCACUGAAAUUUUAAAUGGCCGUGGUAUUUUGACCGUGCUAAGGUAGCAUAAUCAUUAGUUUUUUAAUUAAAAACUGGAAUGAAAGGUUGGAUGAGAAAAUAGCUGUCUCUAUUAAAUUUAAUUAGAAUUUUAUUUUUAAGUUAAAAAGCUUAAUUAUUAUUAAAAGACGAGAAGACCCUAUAGAGUUUAAUUAUUUAGUAAAAAUUAUAUUUUAGUAUUAAUUUAUUUAUUUUAUUAAAUAAUUUAAUUGGGGUGAUUGAAAAAUUUAAUUAACUUUUUUUAUUUAAGAACAUUAAUUUAUGAAUAAAUGAUCCAAUAUUUUUGAUUAUAAGAUAAAAUUACCUUAGGGAUAACAGCGUAAUUUUUUUAGAAAGUUCAUAUUAAAAAAAAAGAUUGCGACCUCGAUGUUGGAUUAAAAUAAAUUUUUGGUGUAGAAGCUAAAAUAUUAGGUCUGUUCGACCUUUAAAAUUUUA
rnacentral:rRNA from 1 species